rnacentral:lncRNA from 1 species
GGCCGGGGCGGCGCGGAGGGUUCAGACGCGGGCUCUUACUCAAACGCUGAUCCCCGAAACUACCGAGCAGUGUCUGCGCGACGCGAAAGCAUUUUUGGAGCGAGGGGCCAUGGUGCCCAUGGGAUUCCCACGGGUGUUGGACUCGGGACCCCGAAAAGGGUGGAGUUUGGAAAAGAUUUGAGACCACAAGUGCAGCCUCCGCUUUCCUUGUUAGAGUUACUCCAGAAGCCCUGACCAGCUCAGACUUUCCUUCCUACUUCCAUUCCUUCAACAAAUAUUGAACAUCUGUGGUGUCAGCACCCGGGCUUCAGGGAUGCGUGAGUGGGCAGGGUUGCUAUGGUCAUGGAGCUCGGUUCCAGCAGGGGAGCCAGGCAGACAUGAAAGAGCCCUCUGGAUGCCGAGACGUGUGCUGUGAAAGUGUGGCAUAGAAAGUGCCUGGGGGAUGAUGGCCACUUCAGUGGGGCAAGAGAGAAGGUGACAUUGGAGCUGUCAUUGAUGAUAACGGCGGCAGCGCUGAGGGGACGGGGACCGAGAUCCAGGCAGAGGACCUUGCAACCACCUGACUCAGUGUCACCCAUCUGGGCCAGCCCUUCCCGGGAGACCACUGUGGUGGUAGUUGCUGCUCCCAGCAGUGCUGUGGCUCAGUACUGAGAGAGGGGAGGGACCUGGGGAGCCACUG